AGUAUGAAUGGUGGAGCUAGAGCGGAGUUUGGCGCAGCAAUUAAGAAAGUUAGUAAGAGGGGAGAGAAUGAGGCAAAGCGCUUAAGUGUCUUGCUGUGUGUUAGAGGAUGACUUUUACGUACUGCAAAAGUUUGAAAGUGAAAGAAAAUGUGUCAGGUCAUAUUGGUGCAAAAGCGCGCCUCACAAAUGUUGGCUGAAUUUUAAAAAAGAAACAGAAGUGCAAAUUUUGCGCCUGACCGCCAGUGAUGUGGGGGCUAAUCUGGAGCACAAUGGGAUCUAAGAGUGCCACCUGGAAACUAAUAGUGUUUAGGCUCAAGAGGAGUUGAGUCAUAGCCUCUGUUUCCUCUGAGUCAUGACCUCGGACCGGCCCAGUCUGGAUCAAGAAGCAGAAGAGACCAAAGGCUGGGGUUUUCACUGAAGACUUUCUGAUGAAGAUGAGGAUGAAAAGAGACAAACUGGGCUAAGACACAGGAUUGAGAAACAGCUUCACCGCAGGACUAUCAGGCUGGUUUCCACCACAUUCACCCAUCCUGACAAGCGAUGGGGAAACCACCCCAGCAAAAUUCAUCUGUUGAGAUGUUGCUGAGGCAGUGUGUGGUUAUGACCUCAUCAUCAUGAGAUGGAAAGGCUGGUGACUGCAGGCAGCAACAGAAGAGGUGGUGCUGUGUUGUGGUUUGCAGCUGCUGGUUCUUGGCAAAAUAAAUUUUGCUGUGAAGAUGCCUCAGGGAAUUAUAUGCUCAAGGUUGAAAGGAUGAACAAAAAAAGAAUUCAAGAGGUAUUUGUGAGUCAGACUGUGUUUGUCUGUAGUUGUGACUUAGAUGAAUCUUAGAUCAAAUUUUGAGUAAUCAAUGCAGAAACUGUUUAUUAUUUUUUUUUUUUAACUUGAUCAGAAAUAGAUUUUUUGACACCUGUUUCAUAGCUUAAGUCUUAACUUGUUGAUUGAGGCUGCUGGGUAACACUACAGUGUUUUAAAGCCAUUAACAUGCUGUCAUUCAUGCGUUGAGUGGCUUUCAUGGCUAUUGUCACACAUUAAAACCACAUUGUAAAAUUUCAACAUGUAGUUAUUACUGAGAACAUGUAUCAUUCAUUAGGAAUGUGCACACAUUUUUAUGUUAGGAAGAGUGUUUUUUCCACUUGUCCUGAGAUAAACCGAAAACUGUUUGUUAGCCUGAAAGGGACAAAAACUUCAGGAUGUUUGAACGGAAUUUGAUCUACCCUGAAUCACAGGAACACUUCAACAACAUCAGGGAACCUUGUUAGACAGGGUUAAAGAGUUUGCUUAACAGGGGAGCCUCUUUGUAGGAAUUUAAUGACUCAGCUUCUGUUUGGAAAUUCCCAGACCCUAGGGAGCUCCUCUUUUCUAUGUUAAGAAGAAAGAUACAGCCAUUGCUUUUGUCCUUUAUAUGGCUAAUAUGUAAUGUCUGGUAUUAAGAGAGUGACGUGUGGAGAGGAAUGGGCAGUACACACGAUUGGGCAGAAACUUUAGUGAGCUGAUGUGAGUCAUGCUCCAACCUGACACCAGGUUGACUGACUUUGUAAAGAUGGGUGAUGCAUCACCACUUUCUUCUGCACAUGUAACAGGUGCUGCCAUUACAUUUUCCAAUAUAAAGUGCUACCAAAUUACAGCCUCCUGUUUGGGCCAACUUUACAUGUAGUAUUGCCCUCAGAGUCUUGACUUUCUAGGCCUGAUGUGGAAGCUUGUUGCACCUAUUUUUUCCCCCCAUAUUGGUUUUACUCUUUGUGUGCAAUAGGAUUAGCAUCAUACUACUAAUUAUAUUAGUCUUCACACUUAGUAGUCUCAAGGCAAAAAUAAGAAUAUCAGUAUCAUUUACUGCAGUGCAACUAAGUUUGUGGUGUGAAAAAGACAACAAUAAAGACACUGCGAUUAGCAAAAGAAAAAGCCCUUCAAUGUUUUCAGGUAUCAUUCCUAAACAGAGGAGGCCACCUGUGAAAUGGGUACAGUACUCAGUUUGCCUGCUAACCAUUAAAAGAUGCAUACACCGUUUUUAUUUCACCAAAUUACUUAUCUAAAAAAAUGUUUUCACAAAUGAGCACUUUACAUCUACAUUAUAAUUAAUAUUUAAAUGGGAAUAAAUAGCAAAAAACAUAUUUUGCUUCUUCCACUUCACUUGGUUUAGGUUUACUUUGACCCCUGCUACAGCCAGGCGGUGGUAUUGAGGGCCAAGCAGGAAGCAGGUUCUCAAAGCCACAUCUCUUUCCCCAAGUACUACACACACUCAGAUUGUAAAUGAUAGCACCAAGUGUAAGAGUUUAAAGUAACCAGAAAACUUAGCUGUGCAAAAAAAAUAUACAAUAUUUCUCAAGUGUUGUGGAGUUAAAGUUUCAGGUUUCAAGGAAACUUUUCAGUAAAGUGACACUUUUUAAGACAAGUGGGUGAUUGGCCAGUAAACUGAGGAAUUUAAUGUGGUAUGGAAAUGCAGUUUGCUUCAAGUGUAAUUUCUUAUGUAAUAUGCCAAAUAAAAUACAAAUACAAAGGAGGGGGCAGGAACAGAGCUCAGUUUGUUCAUGUAUGUAAUGUAGACAAAAAAAUUAAUUUAAAAAAAUGCUGAAAGGAAGGCUGUGUGUGUGUGUGUGUGUGUGUGUGUGUGUGUGUGUGUGUGUGUGUGUGUGUGUGUGUG